GUCAGGGACCAAUGGAGCCAAGGCUGGAUUACCAACGAGGCAAAGCAGGGGCCCCCCAGACACCCUGGCUCACUGUGUGGCAACUGGAUGAGGACUGUGACUUUCAUCCCUCAUUGAGUCCUGCCAGGGAGAGAGGAGGGAUAACAGCAACGACCAACAACUCUUUUAUAUGUGCAUGUGGAGUUAUAAUAUGACUGAUCCAAGCUGCACCGAACACAAGAGAAGAUUUGAUAAAAACCAGAUGGGAAGCUGAUGUCAAAGCCUAACUUGGGACACUGGAUAGACGGCACAGGCAGUCUUCAAAAAAUAUAGACUGGAAAUGUCACAUCCCCACUCUUUAAUUCUCAAGCCUCACUCACUCAAUCACUCACUUACACACACACGCACAGACACACACACACACACACAUCUCCAUGGAAACUGAUAAAAGAAUUGCUGGUGUGCAAAAAAAGAAGAGAUGGACAGAAGCGUAUACAAGAACUUGGACGGUCAGCAAGAAACACAUUCAUGGACGACAUGAAAAACAUGAGGGAUCUAUAAGCAGAAAUCAAUCAAGAAAAUGCUAAAUCAACCCGGUUAUGAUGUCAAAAAUACUCAAGGAAUAUGAUACUCAUGCAAACCUUUCGAAUCCAGCAUCAUAAAACGCUCUCAACCACAAUUAAAGAGCGGCUCAAAUGCAACUUUCUGCUUAAUUACAGGCCGAACAUUUGAUGAGAGCUCGGCUCAAACCGCCCGAGACAAACACGGCGAGCUGAUAGAUUUUUGAGUAAAUAUGAAGCAAUCACAGUUACGGGGACGUUGCAGAUAGCAGAACAGAGAGGAGGGUGGGCAAGAGAAGAGGGGAGAGGACAAGGGAAGGAGUACAGCACAGAGUACAGCACAGUACACCACCUACACUCGUCGCCAUGGCAACUACCACACUAGAACGAGUGAAAAUGCAGUUGCCUUCUCUUCCUAUUCUGAAAAAUGUUCAAUUGGUACCAUAUGCGCUUGUGCAGUAUGUGGGAGACAAAGCUUUCAGCGUUGUGUUGUUGCAUAUGAUAUGAGAAGUAUUUCAGAAGUAUUCGGUUAUAAUUCCUCCCCUGCGAGGAUAAAUAUUUUAACGGCAUACGUUACAUCCAUCUAUCCACCAGAGAUGCUGGCUUAGCCUGACACUGAAUUAAUCACCAUGGCUUUAAGGGAUAACUUGUUAUUUUUGAAUUCAUGUUAUUUUUUUCUCUCUCUCUUUGCUAAAGCAAGUGACACAGUGUGUGGGCAGCAGUUUCUUUCAAACAAGUAUUUAGGUUGAUAGAAAUGAGAAAGGCAGGAUAAAAUAAAUUCCAUCGCCAAAUGAGGGUCCUGUUGUCAGAGAAGAUAAAGUGACACCACAACAACUUGAAACCUUUCAACACGGGUUUGUGUUACUCUGUCAAAGUCGAGGAUGCCAGAGCGGUUUGAUUUAUUGGGUGUUAUUGAGGAAGAACGUGUGUAUAAUUUGUCCUUAAUUACAUCUUGAGUUUAACCAUAAAAAGACUAAUGAAAUAAUUUGAGAUAAUGUGUCUUUGCUACAUCCAUCACUCCUCUGUGUGGGCCUUUCAUCCUAUUCUGGACUUGAUUUGCUCUCUCAAAAUGGCUUGUUUAACUGCCAACGUGCUGCUGUUAGCAUAACCAGACGUUCAUCCUACUAGCAAAUAAAUGAUUCAAAUUGUGGUGUUUAGUCACGUCAGUAUGAAGGGAUCUGCUUUGUCUAGUCCGUGUUAAUUUGCGGGGCAGACUGUCAUGAUUAAUACAAAAGUACAAUCGGUCUGUCUGUCAACUCAGCAUAUGACAAAUAGAUGAGGUCGGUCGUCGGACAGCCCACCAGUAAGACGUCCAGAUGGCCGAUUCAUCCGCCUCUGCUCUUCACUUCACCAGCAUUUUUUUUUUGCAUCAUGACAGACAGCAUCUGACUGCCUGAACAGAGACGUACAUUUGAUCUUUAUACCUGGCGUCAUUGGAGAAGUCUGGUUUGUCACAGGACUCUUGUUCUCACCACUGGAGGUAUAAAGUCCUCAUCGGAAAUGUGAGGUUUUGGUCUUUAUGAUAACUUACAUCUGUGUGAAUACCUGUUGUAUAAUAGAUUAUUCAUGUAUUCCCUCAAGCAAAUAAGUGUCUUAGUAAUAGCUAUAUUUAACACUAUACUACAAGAAAUUAACAUAAUUGUUUUGUAUCGGCAGGGAAUGAUGCAACACUUGUGAUGCUGUGGAAUGUCACUGCCAAUUCAAUUUAAAGGGACAGCAAAACAUUUUUCUAAAAAGUAUUAUACAUUCAUUUUUUUUGUUUUUAGAGGUGUUAGUGGAGCUGCCAUACACAA